rnacentral:lncRNA from 1 species
CAACCUCUAAACUCACUCUUGUCCAUUCUUGAUUUGUUUCAUAAAACUCUUUGAUGUGUGUGUUCUUGUGCUAGGGAUUCCACCUUCAUUCAAAGUUGAGGAACCAUUGUAAUGUUCAUCCAAAGUGGAAGAGACAAGAUGCAUUGAAGAUCUCUUAAGAGACUUGUGUGAUGAAUGCUUGGGUUUAUGUUUAUGUGAUUGCUUAUUCCAAGGUGUCGCAGCCUGAAAAAUACAGAAGGUGCGAAAAAAAAAACCGGCGAGAAAGAAAUGACAGAAGAGUCGCCACCGUGCGUUAUUUAUCCCAAAGGAGGGAAAGGAAACGCUCGAAGUAAAC